AGUGAACGCUGGCGGUAGGCCUAACACAUGCAAGUCGAACGGCAGCACAGUAAGAGCUUGCUCUUACGGGUGGCGAGUGGCGGACGGGUGAGGAAUACAUCGGAAUCUACUUUUUCGUGGGGGAUAACGCAGGGAAACUUACGCUAAUACCGCAUACGACCUACGGGUGAAAGCAGGGGAUCUUCGGACCUUGCGCGAUUGAAUGAGCCGAUGUCGGAUUAGCUAGUUGGCGGGGUAAAGGCCCACCAAGGCGACGAUCCGUAGCUGGUCUGAGAGGAUGGUCAGCCACACUGGAACUGAGACACGGUCCAGACUCCUACGGGAGGCAGCAGUGGGGAAUAUUGGACAAUGGGCGCAAGCCUGAUCCAGCCAUACCGCGUGGGUGAAGAAGGCCUUCGGGUUGUAAAGCCCUUUUGUUGGGAAAGAAAAGCAGCAGGUUAAUACCCCGCUGUUCUGACGGUACCCAAAGAAUAAGCACCGGCUAACUUCGUG
rnacentral:rRNA from 1 species